UUAGAUGCAAAGGAAGAGGCCGUCUCCCUCUCUCCAUCUCUCCCCGAACCUCUUCUGCCCAUUGGCUCGUGUUCCUCCUCCGUCUCCUUCGUCUCAGUACUCCCCCAACUCUCCAUGGCCUAUUCUAAUGUAAUCGAUUUUUCUUUGUUAGAGUUGAAGUGGACGAUCUAUUAAGAAUAAGGCUAUUGUAUACGUGCAUCUAGAGGUCAAUCGAGUCAGCUUUCCUCCAAUGCCUCUUUUCUCUCCCACAAUCUAAUGAGAUUUUUUGUUUUGGUUUUUGGUCGAUUUGAAGUGCACAUUCGAUCAGGAGGCUAUAUCCUGGAUGUUGAGGUCGAGCCAUCAUUCUUGCUCUUUUCUCACCAUGAUCUAAUGGAAUUAUUUUAGAGUUCAAGUGCAGGUUAGAUCUGAAGGAUGUGUACGUGCAUGUUCAGGACCUUCAGGCUUCGGCUCAAUUGAUCAUGCUUUCUACCGUGUGCAUCUCAUCGAGGAACUACGUGCUAGCGCGUCACGAAGGAAUCAAUCCAACUUGCGCCGUCGUGCCGUUACUGCCGCUCUGCUAGUGAUGUGCAACCAGUGCAACUCGGGGUAUAUUACCUUCACCGGUGCAAGAACCUACGAGGUUGUCGGCAACCAUGUUCCUUUAAUCUUGAUUGAGGCCGCCGCUCCAUCUUGGCUUACGCAUGCGAAUACCUGACUCACACUCCAAACCCUAUUCAAGUUCAUCUCCUGACCUAGACCUAAGAAGUCAGCUUGAUCCAUAAUGUUUUAUCAAGAAAAACUAGCUUUUUCCAUGUCUAUCUUUCAGCACUUCUCUUUAUCAGAUUACAUGUUUUGGGGAGUGGAGGAAAACCAGCUAGGAGCUCGGCAUUGCCUAAAGUGGCACGCAUGCAAUUAUAUGUUUUGGGGAGUGGAGGAGAAACAGCUAGGAGCUCGGCAUCGCCUAAAGUGGCACCCAUGCUAUUACAUGAUUUGGGGAGUGGAGGAAAACCAGCUAGGAGCUCGGCAUUGCCUAAAGUGACACACAUGCAGUAAGUUUUUGUUAAACUGCAUCUACAUCAACCAGCCAUGAGCCCGUUUACGUACAUUGUUUAUAGGAAGCUGUACGCAGAUGUCUUCCAAUGCUACCUGUUUUGUUAGUCAAAAGAGUUAGUUGACCGUUCCUAUGGAGAGAUUUUUGAUUUUUUAUGUUAUUUCCUCUGAGUAAACGCUAAUUGUUAGAUUAUCUGCAUGGUACCACGUUAUAUAUAUUAUACAAUUCUGUCUUUCGGUCUUAAAAGCGUGAUGCUUACAUUUAAGUUUUACAAACUUAACAAAUUUCUCAAAAUUAAUACAGUGCAUAAUCUUUUGGUAGAUCAGUAGUAAGAUUCUAAAACUGUUGCCCAUGCAAAAAUUGAACUAACGUUUUAUCAAGAAAAACUAGCUUUUCCAUGUCUAUCUUUCAACACUUCUCUUCUCUUUAUCAUAUUAUAUGUUUUGGGGCGUGGAGGAGAAACAGCUAGGAGCUCGGCAUCGCCUAAAGUGGCACCCAUGCUAUAAGUUUUUCUAAACUGCAUCUACAAACUUAACAAAUUUCUCAAAAUUAUUUCUAAUACAGUGCAUAAUCUUUCAUUGGUAGAUCAGUAGUAAGAUUCUAAAACUGUUUCCCAUGCAAAAAUUAAACUAAAUGUAUCACGUAUUUAGUUAUACAAGUACAUGCACACAAGACGUACAUUUAUUGUACUCGAAAGAGGAUCCAGAUGUAUGUUUUUGUAGUAUUAAACAUUGAUCAUCCAAAAAAUUCCGGCAAUUAUAAUCAUUAAAUUCAUAUUUCAUAGGAUUGUUAUGCAUGACCUUUUCUCUGCAAUUACAGUGUUCAGAUUUUAGAGAUGCUAGCUUUGUUAACAUAUUUUUAGCUAUGAUAUCAACAUGCCCAUUUAGUGAAUUCAGUAUUUGAUAUGGGGAGCUAUGUGCAUUGAUAAUCAUCCAAUAUUGUAAGCUAAAUAUGUUUUUACCAAAUUAGCAGAUUAAUGUGUUCCACUGUGCGCAGCUGAAUGCUUAGAGUACAUGCAUGGCACUAUAUCUACUUCUGAAGACAGUAUUCCAGACUAGGAACCAUAAAAACUAUCAUGUGACCAAACUUAAGCACUCCAUACUAUUUGUAAUUAAGUAGAUUGCAAAUAUGAUGUAUAAUCCUCAUCUAAAAUUUUCAAGUGAUUUUAUCGACAUCCAAUUUCAGGAUGGUCGUUUUAUUGAUCACAAUUUUGGUUUAUGUAGGUAUGGAAUCUAUUCGCCUCUCUCCAUAGGUUUCUACCUCUCUGAAUGCCUCUUCCUAUUUUCACAUAAUUAAAUCAUAUUUUGUUGGGGAAAACCAAUCUAUAUAUCCGUUGUUUCUCUGUGCGAUGCACAUGCUCUUACGUUUGUUUUUUUGACUGAUUCUACAUUGUUUUGUUGCAAUACUUACAAAACUCAAGUAUAAUUAUUUGAAAUUAUCCAGUACAUCUUUUAUAUGUCCUCUUGCAUAGUGGAUUAAUCCAGAACCUAAACUGAUGAUUAAUAUGGAACCUAUAUUGGGCUAUUUCUCUGAAGAAGGCUAGGCGACCUGAACUUUUAGAUUGGGUUCCAAAGAAGUUACUGAAUGAUCUUUCAGUUUCAUACCAAGCUGAAAUAAUGUAGCACUAUGACACUAAUACUUUGCAGAUUUCUACCGUACAACAUGAUUAAAUUUAGUCUGUUACUACUACAUACAUGUAACCACUAUAUUGUUUUCUGUAUGUAAAUGACAUGUACAGAUGUCGUUGUGACUGAACCAUCCAUUUCCACAUUACCAGCCCAAGGCUUCCAUCGUAACACUCUAUAGGUAUCCGUCUACUGUCCUAUAUCUACACACAAGCUCCUCUCAUAGAUUGACUCCACUGACUGUGACCAAUCAUGUUUGUGGCCAUGAUGCAGACAUUUUCUCUCACAAGAGCUCUUCUUAAUACCUUUAUAUGAUACAUUUAGAUGCUACUUUUCUUAUAGAUGUAUUGGUUUCUUCAGCUUCCAUUGACUGCUGCCUUACAGAGAUCUGAUGGUUCGGUGGCUUGAGUCGCUUAUUUUGGAACGGAGGGAGUAGUUCAUAAAAAUCGAUCUCAUAAUUACAUAAAUUUAUAUCUAUUACAUUGAUGCCCCUAUAUGUUUCCUUGACAGUUUCAAUACAAGUUUGUUUCCUACAUACAUGGAGAUUCAUCAUGGCCGCUUGCUGGAAAUAGUAGAACAAACCUCAUGUAAUCAGUCACCAUCAAGAUAUUUACAAAUUAUGUACAUAGUUAUUUAUGGAUGAUUAUUGCGAUUGGCAUAUUUCACGCAGUUAGUGCAUACCUCACACUAUGUCGAAUAUUUUUCUACAGAUGGUCUCACUACUAUUUCUUAAAGACGACCACGUUGUCCAUCAGAUCUUUCUCUUUCCCUCCAUAAUACUCGAUGUGGUUGAUCAUUUGAUAAGUGAUCCAAAUGGAUUAAUUGAUUAGA